rnacentral:lncRNA from 1 species
UGUUCAAAUACAUGACGAAACUUUAAGAAAUUCAUGGAAACUCGCCGUUGUCGAAGAACUCGUAAAAGGAGAGGAUAAUCUUAUCAGAACUGUAAAACUUCGCACUAAAAACGGAACCACCAACCGCCCAAUCAUGAAAUUAUACCCAAUCGAAGUGAACUGUAAUGAAUCUGAACCGGAGGAUGUUACACGACCCAAGAUGUUCCGUCAGGCGAAGUCAGAUGCCGUACAAAAGAUUCACGAGUGGACAAAAUAACUUUUCAAAUUAUGAUCGAAAUAGACUGUUCAAAUUCAAAGUGAUUAAUUAAGAGAUUCAAAUUCAAAUUGAUUUAGUGAAUGGACUUUGAAGUUAUUCAGUGAUUAAUUCUUUCUUUUAUGAUACAUAGACUUUAAAGUUAAGUGAUGAAUUAUGAUUUAUGUCUUCAAUUUAAUCAAAUUUUCAUUUCAUUUCUAUUUAUAUUUCACUUUCGGCGCCCGGAGUGUCAAAGAUUCACGACCUUGUUCAAACGUACCCAACGUUACUAUUGUUGACGUAACGUUAUUGUAACGCAAACUUGUAUGGGAUCUGAAUUAUAGA